rnacentral:lncRNA from 10 species
CAAAUUGAAUCUUUUCAAGUCAAUAUCUCAGACACUUUAAGCAAUGCUCAAUUAUCUAUCAUGUUAACUAGGCAGAGAUUCUUUAAAACAUUUCUUAUGGAUAGACAUUUAGGAUUUUUUCCAAUUUUUGCUAGUAUUUAUCCCCACAAUAUACAUUCUUAUUUCUGAACACUUAUUGUACACAGUCCUAGACAAGGAAUUGCUGUGUUACACAAUAUAAUUAUAUAUUUUUUUGUGACAUAUUGCCAGAUUGCCUUCACAUAUGUUUCUACAAACCUGGAGAUCCCUUCAAUCUGGAGAUCCCCACAGCUCACUGAUGCCCACUUCUCCACACGUCAACACUGCAUACAGUGAGGGGAACCAAUACUGCAAACCAUAAUCUCAUAGCAAAAUCACUAGCAUGGAGAAGACCAAAAAUAUUUAGAAAUGAGUUUAACACCACUGCCCCCACCCCCCGCCAAAAAGAAAGAAGAAAAAGAAGAAAGAAGAGGGAAGAUGGAAGGAAGGAAGGGAGGAAGGAAAGAGAAAGAAAGAAAGGAAGAAGAAGGAGAAGAAAGAAGAAGGGAAGAAGAAAGAAUAAAAGAAGCAAAGAGAAGUUGAUUUUCAGAUUUAAUUCAGGUCUGUGUAUCCUAUCAUUCUUUCCCAGGCACUGGGAAUGUAAUUCAGGGUAUAAGUUAGGGCCCAUUCUCUGGUAGGAGUUCUAGAAUGAUCUCCCACAGUCUCCCUGUGUGACAGGGGGCAGGGUAUCUAACCCCUUCCACUUCAGUCAUCUCCUCUUUAAAAUGAGGAUACUAAUGAAAAAAUAUCUCAUAUGCUGCAUAAAAAUAUGACAAGAGGUAAUUGCCCGGGUCUGAUUAAGUAAUUUGUAAACAGUACCUAAUACUAUUAUUUCAAAUUAUUCCAAUAGUCCGAAGGCCCGUGUAACAUUUACUUUCUGUAUUUUGGGAUUUUUUUUUUGUGGUUGUUGUUUAUUGAUUUUGUUUUUGUUUUUUAGUUGUUUUGUUCCUGAGGAAAAGGAAUCAUUUUUCUUUUCUUUUCAGAUAUGGUCUUUCUAUACAAAAAUUAUAUAUAUAGUUAUAUAUAUGUAGUUUUGUACAGAAAUUAUAUAUAAUAAUAUGUAAUUUUUUGUACAGAAAGACUAUAUAUAUACACACACACACACAAAGUAACGUCAAUUUUUCCUUUUUCUUUAUCCCCGCAUCCUCUGCCUUGGUUUAGAAUUUCAUCAUCUCUCAUUUACGCUAUUUCAGAAGCCUGGUAACCCGUCUCCCUGGCAACAGUUUCCACUCUACUCAUUGCCUAAGGACUGAUUUCCUUCUCUCAUUCCAUUCCCUCCCACUCUUCUAUCUUCCUGAUCAAAUGAAUUUCAAUGCCACACACAUAAUACAUGUUAUAAUAUUGUGUUCCUGGCUAGACCUUAUUUGCAUAUGAAUAAAUGUUUUUUGAGUAGAUGAAAUGAUAGCAAUAUGUAAUUUAUAUUCUGAUUUUCACCUGGCAGUAAUUUCACAAGCACUUUUCAGACCACUAGAUAGACCUAGUAAUUAUUUUUCUAGGUAAUAUGAGUAUCUAUAAGGGAGAAAAGACCAUUAUUCAAUUAAUUAUUAUACACUGUUAUUAGAAAUUCGGGUCACAUCCAAUUUGGGGGGUCAUUUUAAAUGAUAUUUCUUUGAACGUUUGCAUAUGCACUGGUAUAUUUCUAGUUUUUGUCAUAUUUCAUUAUAAGAUACAUGGGAUUGUUUCAGUGGGGCAAAGGGUGAAAUAUUUUUUGAAAAUAUGUUUUAUGGCAUUUGAUUAUGAUGCCGUCUGAUUUCCAAAUGUACUGGCUCAAUCAAUACUGAACCUUGUGUAUUAUGGCAUCACUUUGCUACAAGACAUAAGAUUUGCACAAUGUCAUCUUAAUUUUGCAUUUAAGGAAUAAAAAGUUUCUUAAUCUGAUGA